rnacentral:tRNA from 1 species
GCCCAGAUAGCUCAGUCGGUAGAGCAGGGGACUGAAAAUCCCCGUGUCGGUGGUUCGAUUCAGCCUCUGGGCACCA